GGGGGCGACCGGUUUCGACGUGCCUGUUGAAGUAUUGGUCGCGCGCCGAGGACCCCGGUUGGCCUCGUAAAUCACCCGGGAAACAACACAAAAGCCAACGAAGACUUGGCCUUCGCGGCCUAAAGCCCGCGAACGUUCGCCCGUCUGUGCCUGCGGGACGGAACCGAGCGUCAUGAGCAGGCUGGCAACCGAGCCGGGCAACCGGGCAAGGAAGCGAGACCCAACAGGUUGCUGGCGGUGGCGUUGGCCUGUCCGUGGGCAGACGACAUGGCGAGACUCAAACAUGGACUACGCGCGUAGACGCUGAUGCAACACUUGUGCGGACGCGGGUUCAACUCCCGCCGCCUCCACCA
rnacentral:tmRNA from 1 species